GAAAAGGGAGUUCAUCUCUAAUUUUUCUCCAUUUUUUUCGGAGGGAAAUUAGAAUCGUUGGUGGAUGUGUUCUGCUAGAACAGCUACUUGAUUUUCUCUCUGUCCUAGACUCUGAACACGUUUAGAAUCGCUAUCAAGAGAUUCUGAACUCAUAAUUUUUGGAACCGUGCGAGGUAGCUGCUUCAAAAUUCACUUGAAUGUAUAGCGCCUCGCCC
rnacentral:snRNA from 1 species